UGGCAAUGAUGUGAGAAUUUCUUCACCUGACACUUUCAUGAAGAAACAAAACCGAGCUUUUUAAAACUGAGCCAG